UCGUUUUCUGUCAAAAGUUAAUGUAUGACAGGAAGUCUACGACGUCGCAAACCGAGCUAAGUGAUUGCCAACUUAAACCGUCGAGUUGUUCUUAGUGUUCUCACAUAGCUGCCCGCUCAUCUCAAUGAGUAAUUGUUUCAGCACCAUUAACAGUGCGCUGGCCCAAGAUGCCAACUGAACAUUGAUAUUUUGGUCACUUUUGUUCCAACAUCAUGCGACUUUCAACAUUACAUCUUGCUGAUACUUACAACAACGCAUCUAAUGCAUCAUGAGAACAGAAGUUGAUGAAAAGAAGGAGAGAACCCUUCAAGCCAUUUUAAAUGCCAAAAAGAAGAUUAGACAAGAAAUUAGCGAGUACAAGGACCAUCUUAAAAAUGCUAAAGAAACAAUCACUAAAUUCAAGAAUGAAAUUGGUAAGCUUUAAAGUGAUAAACCAGCUGAGGCAACUGUAAAUAAUGAAUCAUAAAAAAUUUCCUGUAAAUAAAGUUCCUACAUUUAUAUAAACUCA